rnacentral:rRNA from 1 species
UACGAAGGGUGCAAACGUUGCUCGGAAUUACUGGGCGUAAAGGGCUCGUAGGCGGCCAACUAAGUCAGACGUGAAAUCCCUCGGCUUAACCGGGGAACUGCAUCUGAUACUGGAUGGCUUGAGUUCGGGAGAGGGAUGCGGAAUUCCAGGUGUAGCGGUGAAAUGCGUAGAUAUCUGGAGGAACACCGGUGGCGAAGGCGGCAUCCUGGACCGACACUGACGCUGAGGAGCGAAAGCCAGGGGAGCAAACGGG